GCUACGGUAUAUAUUAGAAGACUGAGAUUCGAGUCUUGGCUUGGCCGUCAAUUCGCUCUGAGACUUUGGGCAGGCCUCAUCACCUGCUAAGCCCUUGUUUUCUCAUUUGUAAAAUGAGGGGCCUGGGGUAAACGACCUCUAAAUUCCUUUUUACUACCAAGUCUAACAUUGCCAGAUUGCCUUUUAGGUUCACUAACAAGUAUAUUUCAGGAAGAAUCAGCCACAAAACCACUGGUAUGUGUGUACUGUAAGAGAUGAUGAGUCAUCCUAAGGAAUUCCAAAACUCUUGGUUAGGGAAGAAACAAUAAGCAACAGUGAAUAAUGAGCUGGAAACUUCAGCUUAAAAGCUUCUUGAAUCUUCAAGUCUGAAAUCACUCUUUAUCCCUGGUGGCAGGGAGCAGAAACUCACUUCUAUCCAAGAGGGAGAAAUGGAAAGAGGGAUUGACUCCAUUCACCUGCCCAGGUCACAGCACGGAUCCGCACUCCCAGCGUUCUGAGCCGCCACACUACUCUCUCAACCCUCCAGCAGGAGAACUCUCUCUAGUUUCGUGGAGUUGUUCUUGGAAUGCUUCUGUGCAAUACGAAUACAUGAGCUUGAGUGGCUGAGCACACCAGAAAAUGCCUUCUAGAACGCAUGGAGUUGUGCUGGGCUAUAUGGCCAUGGUCUUCCUUUACUACCACAAAGCUGAAUCUUGGAGACAUCAGUCAGGUGCUGUGGCCAGAGAAAUGUCAACAAGAUUUUCCAAAUGUUUUCUUGUAGCCACCACAUUCUAAGUUUCUGCUUUGUGUUUCAUCUGGGCCCCAACCUUGAGAACUUCCUACUCACAGAAAGAAGACUGUUUCUGCUCUAAGGAAAGGGCCUUCUGGGUGACAGGGCAGUCUAGGUCCCCAGCUCCUCAUGUGGCUGAGGCACCAGAGAAUAAGGAAACCAUACCCCAUGCUCGUUCCUGCCUCUGUACACAAGAGCUCCCUCCCUGAGAGGUCCCCCACAUCAAUCUGUAUCUUCCCUCUUAUUGCCUCUCACUCUAACCAUUCCCUCCUUUAGUUCUAGACUCUGUUUUAUAAAUGUCACUAACUCUUUCCCUGGGGGCAUGUUGUAGAAACUUAGACAUCCUGACAUUAUGGGUUGUGUCCUAUAGGACCUCAUAUAGGGUUUCAUAUAGGGCACCCAAGCCACAACUGGGAAUGGAGGUCCAUUCUAGGAGCUAGGAAUGUUCGCACACAGAGAGCAGACAUGUGGGUGGGUCACAAAAUGGGGUCUCAUUUGUUUAGCUGGAAGAGUCCCUAGGCAUCAUUCAGCAGUCCCCACAACUGGCUGAGUGUCAGAAUCCACUAGGAGGUGCGCAUUAAUAAUGCAAAGUUCUAGGCCCCAUUCCUAGAGAUUCUGAUUCAGGAGGUCAGAAGGGAGGGCAGGCAUCUGCAAUAUAAAUAAGCAACCUGUUCCAUUCCUGCACCUUCCCCGCCCCACCAUCCACAGAAGCUGGCUAAUACUGUGGGAACCACUCUUUGAGCUCUCCGUUCAAAACAAAGGAGAGGGAUCUUUGAUCCAGAGGGCUGACUAUGCUCAGGCCAUCAGUGGGAGACAAGACUAAAGCCCCAGUUGCCUGGGUCCUCGUGUGUGGGUUCUGUCACUUCUCAUGGCCUCCAGGGAUCUCCGGCACUCUCUCUCUUCCUAUGUCAGAGUGGGAGGUCCUCUACAGCCUCCCCUAACACAACUGCCCAUGCAAAAGAAAGGCUUCCGUGACAGAGGCCAGCCAGGACUAGAAGAGUUACUGUACUGAAUAUCAUCCACUAAACAAGUCCUCUUGGUCCUUUCUGAAAUACGGCGUGGCGUUACAUCAAAAACUUCAUCACAGCGCACUCACAGGUGACCCCUCCCGUAUGGACACAGAGCAUUUGCUCUCAAGCCGGGAAGCCAAUACCUGCUGCCCCUGAGGUUUCUCAGGACAGGCACAGGUGCUUGUCGGCUCCAGCUGGGACCUGAGGGCAGUGUCUGGGGUAAGUCUAUCCCCAUGAAAGCUUUCCCUGGGAAAAACCUGGACUCUCACUGGCUUCUCAGGCCCUACCAUACUGGUAUGGUCACAAUGCUGUUUGGGUCCCCAGAAUGCAAAUUAAGUUUAAUUCCACAAAUGAA